rnacentral:rRNA from 1 species
GAUUUUGAUCCUGGCUCAGGACGAACGCUGGCGGUGCGCUUAAUGCAUGCAAGUCGAACGAGAACGGCGGCUUCGGUCGCUAAGUAAAGUGGCAGACGGCUGAGUAACACGUAAGUAACCAACCCCGGAGCGGGGAAUAAUCAUGAGAAAUCGUGCCUAAUACCCCGUACGUCCCAACAGGCGUUGCCGUUGGGGGAAAGGCUUCGGUCGCUCUGGGACGGGCUUGCGGCCUAUCAGGUAGUUGGUGGGGUAAAGGCCCACCAAGCCAUAGACGGGUACCCGGUGUGAGAGCACGAACGGGCAGAGGGGGACUGAGACACGGCCCCCACUCCUACGGGAGGCAGCAGCAGGGAAUCUUGCGCAAUGGGCGAAAGCCUGACGCAGCGACACCGCGUGGAGGAAGAAGGCUUUCGGGUCGUAAACUCCUUUUCUCGGGGAAGAGAACGGACGGUACCCGAGGAAUAAGCAUCGGCUAACUACGUGCCAGCAGCCGCGGUAAUACGUAGGAUGCGAGCGUUGUCCGGAUUUACUGGGCGUAAAGGGCGAGUAGGCGGCCCGCUAAGUCUCAUGUGAAAUCUCCCGGCUCAACUGGGAGGGGUCAUGAGAAACUGGCAGGCUUGAGGUCAGCAGAGGAAAGCGGAAUUCCCGGAGUAGCGGUGAUAUGCGUAGAUACCGGGAGGAACACCAGAGGCGAAGGCGGCUUUCUGGGCUGCACCUGACGCUGAGGCGCGAAAGCGUGGGGAGCGAACCGGAUUAGAUACCCUGGUAGUC